rnacentral:lncRNA from 1 species
GUGCCCACCAGGAAAACUGCUGCUUGUGUUAUCAAGAAUUUAAAGGCCAUGCUAUCCAUCAUGUGUUACCUCACAUUGGUGUUCCCCGCUUCUUUCACUCAGAAUGCUAACUCUUCAGAGACACAGGAAAGUGCCAGUUUCAACAAAUGUUGUGAUUAUCUACAGGCAAGCCAUGCAACACCCGUUAAACAUUAAUAUAAAACUACUGCUCAUCUUUAAAGCAAUGAUUUAAAGCCAUAAAUGUAACAGGAAGAUCUAAUUCUGGAAGACAUACAAAUGCCGAAAGGAAAAUUAAAGCCACUUACCCCGAGGAAGAGAUGAAGGUGAAGAACUUUCUGGGCCUGAGUCUGUGGGAACACAGAAGAAAGAAAGAAGAACUGAGACUUAAAUGAAGCUUAACUGGUACAUCUGGACUCUGAUGAGUGAGAAGUCCAAGCAAAUAGAAAAGCCACAGCCA